GCGCCGCUGCCCCGCCCCGCGUUUCGGCCUGUGGGAGCAGGGCCGCGCGGACCCGAGAUCCCCGGCGGUAGGAGGCUGGGGCGUGGGAAAAGGGGCCGGAGAAGGCAAAUGCCCUGCUCUGGCCGCGUAGCGAGUCACCUCUGGGUCGGGACUCGAACCCCAGGCUCCGGAGGCCGCAGGGGGGAUGGGGUGCUUCCCACGGCAACGGCGCGCGCCCGCGUCUGACCGCAGCCUGACCCUGGCUUCUCGCGUCUGGCUAGACUGCAGGCUAGGGACAGGGCGGAAGGCGUGGGUGCACCCCCAAACCGCGACCCGGCUCUGCGUUGCUCUGGCGUUCGGCUCCUGGGCACUUGAUCGGCCCCCAUCGCGUCUUCUGGGCUCCCGGUGCCCGGUUCCUUUGACCAGUCGGCCUUCCGGGGCAUGCAUCCGCUUUCUCUAGCCUUGGCCCUUCACACUGGCGAUACCCCCGGCCUAGAACGCCUGUGCCCACCUGGGCCAGCAUCCUUUGAUACUAAUUGAGCAGCGCCCGGUCCUCAUCUCUAGGGUCCAAGUCUGCCCUUACAGCCCUGUUUCCCGUGACACCUCCUGGUGGGGUCCGAGCACCUCAGUGAGAGAGACCAGGUCAGGGACACCCAUGUGGCCAAUGCCCAGCGCUGGCGUGGAGCUGACCCUCAUGAAAGGCUGCCCAAUGGGCGGGCACCCUUUCUGCAUCCUCCACCAUCUCCCAAUCCUUGGCAGAGAUGUGACCGUGACUACGUCACAGGCACCACUGAAAUUUCCGGGAGCAUCCAGAAGCAUCUAGAACACCAAAGGCCAUAAAGCACCUUGGGAAGGGUGCAGCUUCUUGGAGACAGCAACAGGUGGUGGUCUCGGUCCAUCCGCACCUUUGCCCUCUUGAGAGGCUCAAGGCUGCUGGGUUUUCCCAGAUCCUUCCUUGGAGAACUCAUCGCUACCUCCAUCUCCGAGACUGCUGAAUCCUGGAUCACCUGUCACAACAUGCCACCUUAAAGCCGGCAAUAUACCUGUCUCCCCGCCGAGGCCAGCGAGCUUGCUCAGCUCACGAGCAUUGAAUGGCUUCUCCUGUGUGCCAGCACCAGUCCAGGUCCUGACAACCUUGAGCCAGACAGACAAGGUCCCUGUCCUCACAGAGCUUAUAUUAUGGUCAGGGGAGACGAUAACACAAAAUAACUUCAAACCGUGGUAAUGGUAUUAAAAAUAAUAAUAAAAACAAAGCCAGAUAAUGUGA